UAACACAUGCAAGUCGAGGGGCAGCAUAAAAGUAGCAAUACUUGGUGGCGACCGGCGCACAGGUGAGUAACGCGUAUGCAACCUACCUAUCAGAGGGGAAUAACCCGGCGAAAGUCGGACUAAUACCGCAUAAAACAGGGGCACCGCAUGGUGAUAUUUGUUAAAGAAAUUCGCUGAUAGAUGGGCAUGCGUUCCAUUAGGUAGUUGGUGAGGUAACGGCUCACCAAGCCGACGAUGGAUAGGGGAACUGAGAGGUUGGUCCCCCACACUGGUACUGAGACACGGACCAGACUCCUACGGGAGGCAGCAGUGAGGAAUAUUGGUCAAUGGGCGGGAGCCUGAACCAGCCAAGUCGCGUGAAGGAAAAGAAGGAUCUAUGGUUCGUAAACUUCUUUUGCAGGGGAAUAAAGUGCAGGACGUGUCCUGUUUUGUAUGUACCCUGAGAAUAAGGAUCGGCUAACUCCGUGCCAGCAGCAGC
rnacentral:rRNA from 1 species